rnacentral:rRNA from 1 species
GGAUCCUACUGUCUCCCCCCUCUAAUCAGUGAAACUGAUCUCCCCGUGAAGAAGCGGGGAUAUACAUAUAAGACGAGAAGACCCCAUGGAGCUUUAAACCUGACAGCACCCGCUCAUUCUAUACCCCAUUAUUUGCCCGACCCCUGUCUGCUCAGUUUUAGGUUGGGGUGACCACGGAGUAUAAAGUAACCUCCAUGAAGAAGGGGAUAUUUCCCUUAUUAGAGAACCACACUUCCAAGAACUAAUAAAUUAAUUUUCAAUGACCCGAUACCCGAUAAUCGAUCAACGAACCAAGUUACCCUGGGGAUAACAGCGCAAUCCACCCUGAAAGCCCUUAUUAACAGGUGGGUUUACGACCUCGAUGUUGGAUCAGGGUAUCCCAGUGGUGCAGCAGCUACUGAGGGUUCGUUUGUUCAACGAUUAA